CUGUGGUUGCAAGUCCAAGCCAGUCGCAGGCAAAGGGAUCCACGUAAGGCACCCAAAGCGGUGCUGAUCAUAGUGCGGCCUAGACGUAAGACCUGCCGCAAAAAGCGAGAGAAGUAGUAGUGGGGGAUGCAGACCAUCUAAGAGCGAACCUUCCAGCAGGCGAGUGUGGGGGUAAAAACCAGGUCAGGCA
rnacentral:ncRNA from 1 species